rnacentral:SRP_RNA from 1 species
GCCAGGCGUGGUGGUGCGUGCCUGUAAUCCCAGCUACUUGGGAGGCUGAGGCAGGAGAAUCACUUGAACCCAGGAAGGAGAGUUUGCAGUGAGCCGAGAUCGCGCCACUGCACUCCAGCCUGGGUGACAGAGUGAGAUUCUGUCUCAA